GACAGACAUCAUCUUUCUUUCCAAAUGCAAAACAUCAUACCAAAAGGACUGAAGAGAUAGACAAUAGAGAACAUACAGUAAGCCCCAAAGACCAAGAUGUCUUCAAAACUGUGCUGCCUUCAGCCCUACCCCAGAAUGUGAAAUGCCUGGUUUUGAACGAUGACCAUGCUAGACAGCAGCUCCAAGGAUCACUGGACAGGGUUUUUCUUUUCAGGAAACUCUGUGAUACAGCCUUCAAUCACGUGUCCUCGAAUGGUGAAACUACUGAAAGGCUCUGGCUCUCAUACUCACCAUCGACUGACUGUGUCUUCUGUUUUGUGUGCAAAUUGUUUUCUCCGAACAGCACAUCUGCACUAGCCAAGAGAGGAUUUGAUUCAUGGGAUCACAUUGGCAGACUUGGUGACCCUGAAAGUUCUUCUGAGCACUGACAAGCUCUCACAGCUUAUAUAAUGCGUUUAUUGAAGACUCAAACCCUUGAUAAACAUACAAGAGAUAGACAUAUUAAAGAAAGAAAUUACUGGACAGAAGCAUUGAAGUGAGUCUUAUCAGCAAUAACAUUUCUGAGAACACGAGCUCUGGCACUGAGACAGGCUAAUGAAAGCUUUGGCAGUCUUAAUAAUGGCAACUUCAUUGGCUGCUUAGAGUUGGUAGCAGAAUAUGACCCUUACCUGGCCCUCCACAACAAGUAUGGGAAUGCUGGUCAUGGCACAACAUCAUAUCUAUCAUCAACAAUCUGUGAAGAGUUCACCAAACUCAUGGCUGACAAUGUAAAGCAAGAUAUUGUGGAUGAGGUAAAAUUGGCUAAUUAUUUUUCCUUCAGCAUUGAUUCCACACCAGAUAUUAGCCAUACUGAUCAGCUGACAUUUACUGUGUGCUACAUGCUGAAUAACUGCACACCUAUGGAAUGCUUCUUGAAUUUUGUUCCAGUUACAUGGCAUACAGGUCUUCAUCGGUUUAAUGUUAUCAUUGAAACCUUAAGUGACGAACUAAAUAUCCAUCUAAAGCAGGGUUCUCAAACAUGCAGUCCACAGAGUUCUUUGCUGCGGCCCACCAAGCUCCCCGACCCCCCCCCCCUCUGAGUUACUUCCUGUGGCUGCCAAACUCCCCCCACCCCCUCCGGAGUUAUUUCCUGUGGCUGCUACCCUCCCCUCAUCCUCUGCUCCCCACUUCCCAGAGCGCCACUCCCCACUCCUUUGCCUACCUCCAGGCACUUCCCACCACCAAACAGCUGUUUGGCGGCACUUAGCGCUUUCUAGGA